UUCCACUGGAGGCCUACACGCCGCCGCUGGGGCUGCCACCAUGUCUCUAGUAAUUCCUGAGAAGUUCCAGCACAUCUUGCGAGUACUCAACACCAACAUCGAUGGGCGGCGGAAAAUUGCCUUUGCCAUCACUGCAAUUAAGGAUGUGGGACGAAGAUACGCUCAUGUGGUGUUGAGGAAAGCGGACAUCGACCUCACCAAGAGGGCAGGAGAGCUCACGGAGGACGAGGUAGAACGUGUGAUCACCAUUAUGCAGAAUCCACGCCAAUACAAGAUCCCAGACUGGUUCUUAAACAGACAGAAGGACGAAGGACGGAAAAUACAGCCAGGUCCUGGCCAACGGUCUAGACAACAAACUCCGCGAAGACCUGGAGCGCCUGAAGAAGAUUCAGGCCCACAGAGGGCUGCGCCACUUCUGGGGACUCCGCGUUCGAGGUCAGCACACCAAGACCACAGGUCGCCGUGGUCGCACUGUGGGUGUGUCCAAGAAGAAAUAAUGUGUGAAUAAAUAGUUUAUACGGUU